UACGUAGGGUCCGAGCGUUGUCCGGAAUUAUUGGGCGUAAAGAGCUCGUAGGCGGUUUGUCGCGUCUGCUGUGAAAUCCCGAGGCUCAACCUCGGGCCUGCAGUGGGUACGGGCAGACUGGAGUGCGGUAGGGGAGAAUGGAAUUCCUGGUGUAGCGGUGGAAUGCGCAGAUAUCAGGAGGAACACCGGUGGCGAAGGCGGGUCUCUGGGCAACUACUGACGCUGAGGAGCGAAAGCGUGGGGAGCGAACAGG
rnacentral:rRNA from 1 species